GCAAACUGUUAAAUUUUGUGUUUUCUGAUCCUAAGCUUAGUUUUUAACUGCAGAUAGUGCUCUAAGCUAGUUUUUGACCGCACACUUAAAUGGUAAUGAAGAACAGCCCUACAGAACAGAACAGCCAUACAAUCUGCAGUAUGAGACAUACGGCCAAAUCAAGUUUUUGAUUAUUCUUGACAUCCAUGAAUAAAAGUCAUGUGGGUUUGGAACAACAAAGCAAACAAAAAGAUGCAAGACUGCAAACUUUCCAGUACUCCUGUGUACUGAUAAUCCGGUUUCCACCCAGUCCCAGGAGAUUAUAUUAAACCUGGAAAAUAUUGGAGAAGAUCAAUUAAGUUUUCAGGAGCACAUUACUGUGAUAAAUGCUGAACUAUGUAAAAGACAACCUGACUACACCAACAUAUCAAAAAUCUAAUGAGAUGCGC